GAUCUCUUGGGCUCUGCCCGCGCUGGUUCAAAUCCUGCUGGUGUCGGGCACUAUGGCCGAGUGGUUAAGGCGAGAGACUCGAAC
rnacentral:tRNA from 1 species